AGAUUGAACGCUGGCGGCAUGCCUAACACAUGCAAGUCGAACGGGAGUAGCAAUACUCUAGUGGCGGACGGGUGAGGAAUACGUAGGAAUUUGCCCUUAAGUGGGGGAUAACCCGGGGAAACCCGGAUUAAUACCGCAUGACCUCGAAAGAGCAAAGUGGGGGAUCGCAAGACCUCACGCUUUUGGAGAAGCCUACGUCGGAUUAGCUAGUUGGUGAGGUAAUGGCUCACCAAGGCGACGAUCCGUAACUGGUCUGAGAGGAUGAUCAGUCACACCGGAACUGAGACACGGUCCGGACUCCUACGGGAGGCAGCAGUGGGAAUAUUGGAACAAGUGGGCGCAAGCCUGAUCGAGCAAUGCCGACGUGUGUAGAAGAAGGUCCGUUCGGUAGUUAAA
rnacentral:rRNA from 1 species